rnacentral:rRNA from 1 species
UACGUAGGGGGCAAGCGUUGUCCGGAAUUAUUGGGCGUAAAGCGCGUGUAGGCGGUCCGGUAAGUCGGCUGUGAAAGUCCAGGGCUCAACCCUGGGAUGCCGGUCGAUACUGCCGGACUAGAGUUCGGGAAGAGGCGAGUGGAAUUCCCGGUGUAGCGGUGAAAUGCGCAGAUAUCGGGAAGGAACACCAAUGGCGAAGGCAGCUCGCGUGGGACGUUACUGACGCUG